rnacentral:rRNA from 1 species
CAAUCAAGUGUCUUAAGGGCAAUUAGUGGAUGCCUUGGCAUGCACAGGCGAUGAAGGACGUGAUACGCUGCGAUAAGCGUCGGGGAGGUGCGAAUACCCUUUGAUCCGACGAUUUCCGAAUGGGGAAACCCACCUAAAAUACUUGGAAAAUCAGAGUGGCAGGCGACUGCUGCUGUGGUUUCCAAGUAUUUAUUAUAGGUAACUUACCCUGAAUAUAUAGGGGUAAAGUGGCGAACGCGGGGAACUGAAACAUCUAAGUACCCGUAGGAAAGGACAUCAACCGAGACUCCGGAAGUAGUGGCGAGCGAACCCGGACCAGGCCAGUGAUCUUGGCGAGACAAGCAGAACCAUCUGGAAAGUUGGGCGAUAUGGGUGACAGCCCCGUAUGCGUAAUGCGAACCAAGAUCCUUGAGUAAGGCGGGACACGUGAAAUCCUGUCUGAAAUUCGGAGGACCACCUUCGAAGCCUAAGUACUCGUG